UUGUUAUUGGACCAUUUACUACCUGCUUUCAUAUAAUAGGAUUGAAACCCUGAAACUCCCAACCUUUAAAGGGGAAACAAAUUAAAACCCUAAAAACCUUCACUUCAAAGGGGCAACAGAUCACAUCAAUCAACACCUUCAUCUCAAUAAUCCUCAUUUCAUUUCUUCAAACCUGAACACAUAUUCAUCUACAACCUUUUUUCCAAGGUCGCGGAUGACGUCAGCGUUUUGAGGGUUUGCGAUUCCGGCGAUACUUCAAUUAACUACGACGAUUUUUGCGGUGUGAAUAGGGUAUGAACUCCGGUGACAUUCCGGUCAACCAAAGCUUCCGACCACGACGGUGGGGUGAACGACAAUGGUUCAGUGUAACCUUUUGUCUCUUUACACGCGAGGAGGGCGCACCCGACUCUAGCUGAGGAAACAAAUUGGAAUUGGCCAAACAACAGGAAACAAAUUAUUUAAGGUGUGACAAGUUAGGUCUCCAUCUCUCAAGUUUUGUCAAAGAACCAUUUGGCCUUGAAUUAAUAUGCUUUUGCUCCAAAUCUUAUUGUGUUAAUUAACACCUUUAUGAGAUUAAACGAAUGAUGUCAAUUGUUAAAAAAAUCAAGGUUUUUUAGCUGGAUUAAACCAAUGAUGCCAAUUGUGCAACUUAGCGUUGGGUUAAUUGAUUUUGUUCAAGUUGGUAGGUCACGUGUCAUCGGGUUAGGAGCUGGAUAUGGCUCAAUGUUUAUUGUAUUUAAUCACAUAUCAACAAAGUUUUUAGAGUCAUGAUUUAGUGGGUAAUUCAACUCCUGAUAAUUAUGGAUCUGGGAAAGUGAAAGAUUAGGAUGCAUAUUUUGCUUAUUUGUAGGGCUGGGUUACGUGUUUAUUUGUUUGAAGCUUCGGCUUGUUAUCUAAAUGCUUUGUAAUCCAUGAAAGUGUGGAGUAAGAUUUGAGAGAUAAAUCCAUUUAGAGGAUGGAAGUCAAGAACUAUUUCCUUUUGUAUAGAUGAUGCAGACUGCCUGCUAAAGCAUUAGCAUUA